rnacentral:tRNA from 1 species
GGUGUUGUGGCUCAGUGGUAGAGCAUUUGCCUAGCACAUGCAAGGUCCUGGGUUCAAUUCUCAGCAUCAUGU